rnacentral:rRNA from 1 species
CAGCAGCCGCGGGAAUACAGAGGGUGCGAGCGUUAAUCGGAUUUACUGGGCGUAAAGCGUGCGUAGGCGGCUUCUUAAGUCGGAUGUGAAAUCCCUGAGCUUAACUUAGGAAUUGCAUUCGAUACUGGGAAGCUAGAGUAUGGGAGAGGAUGGUAGAAUUCCAGGUGUAGCGGUGAAAUGCGUAGAGAUCUGGAGGAAUACCGAUGGCGAAGGCAGCCAUCUGGCCUAUACUGACGCUGAGGUACGAAAGCAUGGGGAGCAAACAGGAUUAGAUACCCCCGUAGUCCCUGUCUCUUAUACA